rnacentral:rRNA from 1 species
CUACGGGUUGCAGCAGUGAGGAAUAUUGGUCAAUGGGCGAAAGCCUGAACCAGCCAUGCCGCGUGAAGGAUGACGGCCCUAUGGGUUGUAAACUUCUUUUAUACGGGAAGAAACACCUCUACGUGUAGAGGUUUGACGGUACCGUACGAAUAAGCAUCGGCUAACUCCGUGCCAGCAGCCGCGGUAAUACGGAGGAUGCAAGCGUUAUCCGGAUUUAUUGGGUUUAAAGGGUACGUAGGCGGAAACUUAAGUCAGUAGUGAAAUCCCGCAGCUUAACUGUGGAACUGUUAUUGAUACUGGGUUUCUUGAAUAUUGUUGAGGUAGGCGGAAUAAGUAAUGUAGCGGUGAAAUGCUUAGAUAUUACUUAGAACACCGAUUGCGAAGGCAGCUUACUAAGCAAUUAUUGACGCUGAGGUACGAAAGCGUGGGGAGCGAACAGGAUUAGAUACCCGAGUAGUC